ensembl:lncRNA
AGCACGUAAAACUAUUGUUAAUUCAGAAGUUCAUAAAAAAAGAAGAAAAUUUAAGGUUAAAAAUAUCACUACUGCACUGGAUGACAUUGUUCCACUGAAAGUAGGUCUCGUUAAAGAAACCUGUUAUAUUUUUGAUGGGAUUUGUCUGGUUGAUAAAGAAAUUCACUAUGGUAUAACCUACUUUGAUUUCACUAGAUCUAAACUAGAUGACUCCCAGAUUGGAGCUGCUGCCAUAGAAAGGAACAGAAAGACUCAUCCUACAUCAAUUAAAAACUGUUUCAGUACGUCAAAAAGGUCUUAUUUUGUCAGCAAAGUAGAAGGAGCAAGCACAGUUUGCAGAUGGCAUAAUUUGAGGAAUGCCUUUCAAUUCCUCCUCCAGCAUGUAAAAUCUUCUCCGCAGCAGACUGUCCCACUCCUACUCUAGGAUUUCAAG